rnacentral:rRNA from 1 species
CCUACGGGUGGCAGCAGUGGGGAAUAUUGCGCAAUGGGCGAAAGCCUGACGCAGCGACGCCGCGUGAGGGAUGAAGGUCUUCGGAUCGUAAACCUCUGUCAGCAGGGAAGAACGGUCACUGUGCUAAUCAGCAGUGAAUUGACGGUACCUUCAAAGGAAGCACCGGCUAACUCCGUGCCAGCAGCCGCGGUAAUACGGAGGGUGCGAGCGUUAAUCGGAAUUACUGGGCGUAAAGCGCUCGUAGGCGGUAUGUCAAGUCAAGGGUGAAAUCCCCGCGCUCAACGUGGGAACUGCCUUUGAAACUGGCAAACUGGAGUGUGUGAGAGGAUAGUGGAAUUCCAGGUGUAGGAGUGAAAUGCGUAGAUAUCUGGAGGAACAUCAGUGGCGAAGGCGACUAUCUGGCACAUAACUGACGCUGAGGAGCGAAAGCGUGGGUAGCAAACAGGAUUAGAUACCCUAGUAGUC